CUCAAAUGUCUUUUUUUAGUGAUUUCUAGAAUUAUUCCGUUGUGGUUGGAAAACAUACUUUGUAUUAUUUCAGCCCUUCUAAAUGUAUUGUAGUCUGUUUCAUAGCCUGGAGUUUGGGCUAUCCUGGAGAAUGGUUCAUCCUGGGAACCUCCAUAUGCCGCAGGUGAAGCCCUAGAAAAGGCAAAAGACAAAGACAAAAAACAAAAAAAGAAAGAAAGAAACAGGAUUCAAACCCAAGUCUCAGAGAUGCACGGCCAUAGUUCCUUCACUCUGUGCUUCUCUGGCUGAGUGGAUGUUGGGGUCAUGGGAUAGACAAUGGCCAGAGAAUAGAAAGAUAGUUUCCAGGAGAGAUGAAUGGCUGCAUUUUUUUCUUCCUUCAGCAUGAUCCUCCAGUUUUCCACGUAGUUGUUUUGAUGGUUUUGAGAAAUCCAGGGUUGCCUGUGGCUGCCCAUCCCUGGACCUUCCCCCUAGACCACUGCAGCUUGUAGAGAUGGGUACAGAGCAGGGGGCUCUGUGAGCCACGUGCACAGUGCACAUACAUGGAGCUCCAAGUGUGUGUGCCACAUGUACACCCCUCUCUGGUUUGUGGGUGCACACGCUCACCAGGGGCUCUGCUGCUGCCAGGCCGCAGGGAGCCUCCAGGUUGACAGGAAGCUCCAGGAACCCGCCUUCCUUGGGUCCCAGGCAGGUUUAAGGAGCAGCUGCUGCCCUCGACCACCUGCUUCCCUGCCAGUCGACUUCAAAUGGAACUGGCAGCUCGUCCCAAGGUGUGUGCCUGGGAGAAAAACCUGUGUGUGUCGUUCCUUUGGGUGCUGUGUGCACACCUGCACAUCUGCAGACGUGUGCUCGCCCAGGCCAGGUUCGGGGCCCCUGGCUCAGCACCCCUUUGUAGGCAGAAUAAGGAGGCUUUGCUCCAUGGCUUCCACACAGCAGUCUCCCAUGGUAUACCUUCCAAUCCUGCGAUCCUGACCUUCUGGGCUUCUGGAUGUCAGGCAGGUGUGGAGAGACCGUCCAAGACCUGUAAGAAAGACAUGUGGGUGGGCUCCUGGGACUGGGGACAGUGGGCUUCUGGGGGGGCUUGUCUUGGGUCCUUGUACCAAGCUCUUCCAUGGUGCUAUCCCUAGGGAGGAAGACAUGGCCUCAUGGGGAUCUGGCCAGUGUCAGGGGACAUAGUGCUUCUCUGGGGUUCAGAGACCCUCUCAGGGAGCAUGGCCCAGUCCCAGGAUUGAGAAGGUGCUGGGAGAGCUUCUGGAGGUACCCACUCCCCACCCAUCUCUCCAAGUUGGCCUCAGGCUUCCCCCAGCACUGGACUUGAAACCGAGAGGUCUGAGCUCUGCCCUGCGCCUCAUGGGUUGUACAAUGCUGGAGGUCCUCUCACCUGCCCUGGACACCCCGCUAAUCAGCUGCUGUGCACACUGUAAAGCAGGACCACGGAGGGCUUGGGGCAGCUUUCCUCCCACUCCAGCCUCUUCCCCUCCCUCCUGGGUUUUCUCUCUCUUUAGAUGCAACACCUCCUUCCUUCUGGGCUCUGAAGAAUUGUUCCGGGGCCUCUCAGGCAACUUGGAACUGUGGGUGAGCCUUGGGCCUGAGCGCACAGGGCCUGGCUGUUUCUAGCUUGGCCCUUCCUGCAAUGAGAGCCGUUUGCUUACCCACAGGGGUGUGUGUGUGUGUGUGUGUGUGUGUGUGUGUGUGUAAUUGCAGCACCACACCAAGGUAUCUGGCCCCACCUCCACAUCAGCUCUGGGGUGGACCCUGUCCCCAGAGGCAGCUUGUGCAGGCUCAGGUGACAGUUUUAUAGGUGACUCCUGACUCCUGAGGGCAGGCCCCUGAAAAAGGAGCUGGGUAGAUUGUUAUCAUGAGGCUGUCCCAUCCAUCAGCUGCCUGCUGCCCAGUGCCGGCCAGUCCUCGUCCCAUAUAUCACUGCCAGCUGCAGGGCACUGCCAUCACCCCCUGCUGCCCUCCCCUGCCCUGCUGUCCCCCAAUCAGAGCCAGAGCUGCCACCAGCAAAGGGGACCCCCGGCCCAACCCCGCAGCCAGGCAGGAUGGUUGAGCCUUGAUCCAUGGCUUGCCCUCCCCGAGGGCUACCCCAAGUCCCAUUGAUUAUACCAUCUGUCUGUCUCUGGAACCCCUCCACCUUUCUCCUCUCUGCCACCACACCAGCCUCUCACCAGCCAUGUGGCCAUGGCCCCCUAACUGGUGUCCUCAUGUCUCUCUCACCCAAUUCAACCCAUUCUCUCUACCCAGCCAGAGACUUUCUUAAAAUGCCAGGCUAACCUUGCGCAGCUGAUUAAAAACCCUUCCCUGGCUUCCUGUGAGUCCUAUACUAAAAUCCACCCUGCAGUGUCGUCCCAGGGCCCAGUGUGGGCUGGCCUCCGCUGCCCUCUGAGCCUUAAGCCCUCCGUGCUUCCUGUCAUUACAGCUCUUGGCACAAGCUCCCCAGUCCACACAGAUCCCUCCCCACUUUACCUUCCCCUGCCUCUUCCUGUGCUUCCCGGGGCCUCCUCCCCUGCCACCUGGUCACAUGCUCCCAAAAUACAGGGCUCUGUCUUCCAGAGCACAUCCCUCAGUGUGUAGGUUGAUGUUCAAGUGUGUUACUUUUAUCUGUUCGUUCUGCGUGUGUUUGUGGGUCACCUCCUAUGUGCCAGGCACUGCUUCAAGCACUGGGGCCAGUCCACGGCAAACAGGAAAGACCAGGGAAGAGUAAGGCUCAUGUAGCGUGAGAUGACAUAUGGUAAAGACAUAGAUACAAACGGAUGCACGUGGUGCGAGGCUUAUCUGAGACAGUCUCUUAGAGGCAGUGGCGACUUGAAUCGAGACAGAUGGAGCAGGGAACAAGUGAUCGGGAGAGCUGGUGGAGGGCGCUUCUGGCCAAGGGACCAGUCAGAGCAAAGGCCCUGAGGUGAGGCAAGGAUGUGCUUGGCCGUUCGAGGAAGAGCAAGACGGCCACAGUGGCUCUCCUGACAGCUCCAGCCCAGAGGGAGAGCUGGUUGGGAGGAGAGGGGCUGAGGCCCCGGGGGUGAGCGCGUCCCCAGUGCUGCUCUCGCUUCUCCCACCUCCUCCCCCAGCUGGGCAGCCCUCCUCCAGGGGGGACAUAGACGGAUGCUUGUCUUGAGGGUCCCCCUCCCCUCUCCCUCUCCCUGCCCCUCGGAACACUCGCGCGGCAGGGACAGGAAGUGUCGGUCCUUGAUUCCCAGCUGCCUGGGUGGGACGCCGCUGAGCCGGCCGGGCUGCCGGAGGAGGGACAGAGGCCCUAUUGAGACUGCUUUCUGGACGGGCAGGGACAAUAGCCACACUGAGGACCAGGAACAUCGCCGGCAUGCUUGUCCAGGAAGUCACCAGCCCGCUGCCUGCCCCCUCCCCCUGCCUCCCCAAGCCCUCCUGACUUUCUCCUUGAGCUGCUUAUUUCAGGAUGAUAGUAAUGUCCAAAAUGGUCACUUUGUCCUUUUCCUCCUCCCCAGGGGCUCCCUGCUCUGUGCCAGACCCCUGCUGGGCUUGGGGACCAGUGAGGAAUCCUGUAUGAUCUCUGGGAGCGGGGAGGGGAGGAGGCAACAGACACACAAACUGAGUGGGGCCUCCUCAGUGCUUCCUGCAGAGACAAAGGACAGGGUGUCCACAGGGGCCCAGGGGAUGUCUGAUCAGGAAGGCUUCUUAGAAGAACAGUCACAGUUCUAAAGUGUUUCUGCAACCAGGGUCUCAAGGCACCACAGCCAUGUGGCCCAGGCGGGGCAAGACUAGCUCUGUUACACACCCGGCAGAAGCAAUGGUCUCUGCCUUACAGCAAGCUAAGGCCUAUGCUAGACAUGACCUCUGUCUGCUUCUUCAGCCUGUGUACUGGCUACUCGUGGAACAUUUGCACCAGAAAGUUCUUUAGGGAUCAUCUAGGCCUGGAAUGCCAACACAAGUCACGUGUGCCUGUCCUCCCCUAGCCACGGCCAUGGCAAGGCAGCUAUCACCAAAAUCACACCAUUCUUGCCUAUCGAGCUAGGAUGCUGCAGCAGAAUCUUUCUCAACACAGUGCUCUGCUAUCAAUAAUUGGACACCCAAGAGGAAGUAUUUACCUUUCCGGCCAUGUCCUCAUUGACAGAAGGAAAAACUGAGAUCCAGGCGGGGAAGGGGCUUGUCCCAGGACACAGAGCAUGUUGGCAGCAGCAUGUUGGGGCUGGGGUUGGGUUGGGCAUGUGUAAAGAAACACCCACCUUAGAAUGUAAAUUGGUGCAGCCACUGUGGUAAACAGUAUGGAAAUUUCUCAAAAAAACUGAAAAUAGAACUAACACCUGAACCAGCAAUUCCAUUCCUGGGUGUAUAUCUGAAAAAACAAAAAACAAAAAUUCUAAUUCAAAAAGACACAUGCAUCCCAAUGUUCAUGGCAGUCUUAUUUACAAUUGCCAAGAUAUGACUUCAAUUAAACUUAAAAAAAUUGCCAAGAUAUAGCAGCAACCUGAGUGUCCGUCAACAGAUAAAUAAAAAAGGAUGAAAUUUAGCCAUAAAAACUAUAAAGCCAUAAAAAACUCAGCCAUCAAAAAGAAUGAAAUGUAGCCAUUUGCAGCAACACGCAUGGACCUGUAGGGCAUUAUGCUAAGUGAAAUAAGUCAGACAGAGAAAGACAACCUCUGUAUGGUAUCACAGGUGGAAUCCAAAAAAUACAACAAACUAGUGAAUAUAUCAAAAAAAGAAGCAGACUCCCAGAUACAGAAGACAAACUAGUGGUUAAUGGGGGGAGGGGGAGAUACAGGGAUGGGGGAGCUGGAGGCACAAACUAUUGUUAUUGUGUGUUACACAGGCUCAAGGAUACACCAUGUAACAAGGAACAUGUCCAAUAUUUUGUAAUAACUGUAAAUGGAACAUAACUUAAAAAUUGUAUAAA
rnacentral:lncRNA from 1 species